rnacentral:misc_RNA from 1 species
UGUGGGAGCUGGCUUGCCAGCGAUAGCGGUGGUUCAGCCACCAUCCAUGCCAGAUGUGCCGCCGCCAUCGCUGGCAAGCCAGCUCCCACA